GGACUGAGAUGGCUCAGUCAGUAGAGCAUGAGAGUCUCAGUUUCAUGGUCAUGGGUUCAAGUCACAUGUUGGCCA